rnacentral:lncRNA from 10 species
GGACUCGGACACCACGGAGCUGCCAGCAGCGGCGGGCCCGCGUUGCUGCUUGAGGGACUCUCAUUGUCGUAGGCCGCCUCGGCAUCCACUCUGAAUCUAGGCUGGACUUUCUCUGACCGGAAGCGGGGCUGCCACCCGGGACAGUUUCCAAUUCACAUCCCCCGUCCUCGAGCUGAUCCACCCAGACGCCCGCCCUACGCACUGUCCCCUGGUGACCACCCCCUGUGUCCCCACAGACCCCACGCCCCACAUGGACUGUGCAGCUGCACCACGGAGUCCCCCCACAGUCAGCGUGGCCCCACGGGGCUCGUGCCGCUUGCCUUAAACCCACCAGUUAAAACUCCCCCACCAGGCAUGGUGGCUCACGCCUGUAAUCCCAGCACUUUGGGAGGC